rnacentral:rRNA from 1 species
UACGUAGGGUGCAAGCGUUAAUCGGAAUUACUGGGCGUAAAGCGUGCGUAGGCGGCUUUGUAAGACAGAUGUGAAAUCCCCGGGCUUAACCUGGGAACUUCAUUUGUGACUGCAUGGCUGGAGUGCGGCAGAGGGGGAUGGAAUUCCGCGUGUAGCAGUGAAAUGCGUAGAUAUGCGGAGGAACACCGAUGGCGAAGGCAAUCCCCUGGGCCUGCACUGACGCUCAUGCACGAAAGCGUGGGGAGCAAACAGG